AACGUAGGACACAAGCGUUAUCCGGAGUUACUGGGCGUAAAGGGCGUUUAGGCGGGUGAUUAAGUUCGCUAUGAAAGCGCCAGGCUAAACCUGGCGAGGCUGGCGGAUACUGGUCAUCUGGAGUAAGGAAGAGGGAGGUAGAAUUCCGCGUGUAGUGGUGAAAUGCGUAGAGAUCCGGAGGAACCCCAGAGGCGAAGGCGGCCCCCUGGCUCGUACCUGACGCUCAGCCACGAAAGCAUGGGGAGCGAACGGG
rnacentral:rRNA from 1 species